rnacentral:rRNA from 1 species
CCUACGGGGGGCUGCAGUGGGGAAUAUUGCACAAUGGGGGAAACCCUGAUGCAGCGACGCCGCGUGAGUGAAGAAGUAUUUCGGUAUGUAAAGCUCUAUCAGCAGGGAAGAAAUAAAGUCCUUCGGACUUUGGACGGUACCUGACUAAGAAGCCCCGGCUAACUACGUGCCAGCAGCCGCGGUAAUACGUAGGGGGCAAGCGUUAUCCGGAUUUACUGGGUGUAAAGGGAGCGUAGACGGCAGCGCAAGUCUGGAGUGAAAUCCCAUGGCUUAACCAUGGAACUGCUUUGGAAACUGUGCAGCUGGAGUGCAGGAGAGGUAAGCGGAAUUCCUAGUGUAGCGGUGAAAUGCGUAGAUAUUAGGAGGAACACCAGUGGCGAAGGCGGCUCACUGGACUGUAACUGACGUUGAGGCUCGAAAGCGUGGGGAGCAAACAGGAUUAGAUACCCUUGUAGUC